UACAGAGGGUGCGAGCGUUAAUCGGAAUUACUGGGCGUAAAGCGUGCGUAGACGGUUAUUUAAGUCGGGUGUGAAAGCCCCGGGCUCAACCUGGGAAUUGCAUUCGAGACUGAAUAGCUAGGGUACGGUAGAGGGAAGCGGAAUUUCCGGUGUAGCGGUGAAAUGCGUAGAUAUCGGAAGGAACGCCGGUGGCGAAGGCGGCCCGCUGGGCAGGAAGACGGGGCAACCCGUCGGCUGACACUGAGGCGCGACAGCGUGGGGAGCAAACAGG
rnacentral:rRNA from 1 species